rnacentral:rRNA from 1 species
UACGUAGGGUGCGAGCGUUAAUCGGAAUUACUGGGCGUAAAGCGUGCGCAGGCGGUUCGUUAAGUCAGAUGUGAAAGCCCCGGGCUCAACCUGGGAACUGCAUUUGAAACUGGCGGGCUUGAGUGUGGCAGAGGGGGGUGGAAUUCCGCGUGUAGCAGUGAAAUGCGUAGAGAUGCGGAGGAACACCGAUGGCGAAGGCAGCCCCCUGGGCUGACACUGACGCUCAGGCACGAAAGCGUGGGGAGCAAACAGG